rnacentral:rRNA from 1 species
AUGAAGCUGGAAUUGCUAGUAAUCGCGGAUCAGCAAGCCGCGGUGAAUACGUUCCCGGGCCUUGUACACACCGCCCGUCACACCAUGAGAGUUUGUAACACCCAAAGCCGGUGGGGUAACCUUUUGGAGCCAGCCGUCUAAGGUGGGACAGAUGAUUGGGGUGAAGUCGUAACAAGGUAAC